GUGCACGCUGCAAUGACCUCAAUGGGCAGUAACACUGCAUAUUAAUUUGGGUCUUAGUUGCUGUUCUUGAAUUUACUUUAAGAAUUUAUUUUUAACAAUUAUUUUCAUUCACUUUAAAACUUUCUUUAGUGGCGUUAACUUCAACUAAAAGUUUGUUGGAGCAUCAUCUGUUUUCAUAAACUGAAAACAGUAAUGUUUAAAGCGUUCAUCGAUGGCUACCAAUGAUGUGGUUUCCUGGAAGGGGAUGAGCUUCUCAUCCAUCACAAGGUAGUAUAUGUUAAUGGCCUCCCUGCUGGUUCCAGAUGCAAGGAGGUACGGCUUGCAAUGUCUUUCCUGGCGCUCCAAGUGUUCAUCUAAGAUGAUCUGUGACUAAAGUGAGAAACAAAAAUAAAGCAACUGGAAACUCUUUUGUCUUCACUGCAUUCCCCACCAGAGUCAUUGCCACCGUUUACCGAACAGAGGACACUGAGAUGACGAACCGCUGGAGAGUAACAGACUACAGCGCAGACGGCAGAGUUCUCAUGUCGGUUCUCUGCCGUUUUCUGAAGACGUCGGCAAAGGGUGCUAAGAGGAAGAGAACAGCAUCCAGAGCCCGACUCCACUGAGGAAGCGCUUCAGGAUUUAAUAUAAAGUGAAGCAUGUCGAACACCAGCAAGCCUGAACAAAGUGUCAGGAAAAAGAGUCACGCUGAGAAGAAACUCCACACAGAAGAUUCUCCCUCAUUAAAAUGACAACUGAGAGUGUUCAGAGCAGCGUGAACGGCAGUGACCUGAAAGAGAGUCCUCGUGCCUUUGUGGAUCCCUCCAGGUACUCCGGCUUCUUCCCACAGUCCAGAG